GACAACCUGGCCGAGCGGUUAAGGCGAUUGACUAGAAUUUUCUCCCUCUAGGAUCACACAGAUCAAUCAUCAAUUGGAGUUUCUCCGCGUAGGUUCAAAUCCUGCGGUUGUCG
rnacentral:tRNA from 1 species